rnacentral:lncRNA from 10 species
GUGAUUUGCAUAAUCCUUAAACCCCCACCCCCAUUCCUUUUUUCAGCCACCUAAUGCAAACAAGAUCUGGCUCAGGCUUCCCUAAACUAAUCCACGGAACACCAUUUAGAAGGGAGACUAUUCCGUGUAAGUUGGCACGGCCGAAUGAGAUCUCUAUUGUAUAAGGGGCAGUCCCAGUAGAAAGACAUUAAUGAAUAUGCCAGUGGGGAGAGCCUCAGCUUCCCAGUUGCUUGCUGGACCCUAAAGCUGUAAGAACUCUGUGAAACUUGAAUGUUUCUUUUUUUAACCAAGCAAAUGUUUACUGGGCACCUAGCAAGUACAGGAGAGAUGGCAAACUGGGGACACGGAGCUGAAUCAAACUGGCCCCAGCUCUCAUGGAGCUUGCAGGCUGGCGGCGAGGCAGGUCCAUGGACAAUGACAACACAGUAAAGCUCCAUGAGGAAGAGACAAACAGUGCAAGUGGAGUCUGUCCUAGAAGAAGGCAUGGCUCCUGCCCACCUGGGGAAGGCAAGAAGACUUCACAGGAAAGGUACAUUUGAGCUGAGCCUUGACAAAAGGAGUGGAGUUUGCAGCAGCAAACAGGGAUUGUAUGCAAGUCUAGGCGGGGCAGCCAGAGGCAGCAAGAAGCCCUCAGGAAAAUGCCGGGCUCCUGAGAGGGGGUCCUGGAGCGAGAUCAUGGUGUGCAGAGAUGAGUGGAGGAGAAGGGGCUGGUAGGAACACUGGACCAAACUGAGGCUCAGGUACCUUGGAAACAUGGGUGCAACAUGUUCCUAUGCAAGGUGCCAAAAGGGAGAAGGAAGUUCCAGAAAAGGGUGCAUGUGAAACACUUUACCAGCUCUGAAAUUCUACCCAAGUGUGCUCCUUACACCUCAGAUCCUGGCUCUAUUUUGAAAUCAAGGUUACUGACUCGGCUCUCUGGUUGCACUUUUUAAUCUCUGGAAUACAAGGCCA